CCCCUAGAUGUUCUGGGCCGCACGCGCGCUACACUGAACAGUUCAACAAGUCUUAACCUUGGCCGAUAGGUCUGGGUAAUCUUUGAACGCUGUUCGUGAUUGGGAUAGACCUUUGCAAUUAUGGGUCUUCAACGAGGAAUUCCUAGUAAACGCAAGUCAUCAGCUUGCAUUGAUUACGUCCCUGCCCUUUGUACACACCGCCCGUCGCACCUACCGAUUGAAUGGUCCGGUGAAAUCUCGGGACGGCGGCUUGGUCGCUUGCGUCCGACUGCUGAAACUUGAUUAAACCAUAUCAUUUAGAGGAAGGGGAANUCGUANCA
rnacentral:rRNA from 1 species